rnacentral:rRNA from 1 species
GACGAACGCUGGCGGCGUGCUUAACACAUGCAAGUCGAACGGAGUGGCGAACGGGUGAGUAAUGUAUCGGAACGUGCCCAGUAGCGGGGGAUAACUACGCGAAAGCGUAGCUAAUACCGCAUACUAUUGGAGCGGCCUAUAUCGGAUGAGGUAGUGGGUGGGGUAACGCUCCACCAAGGAGACGAUCCUUAGCUGGUUUGAGAGGACGACCAGCCACACGGGAACUGAGACACGGCCCAGACUCCUACGGGAGGCAGCAGUGGGGAAUGUUGGACAAUGGGGGAAACCCUGAUCCAGCCAUGCCGCGUGUGCGAUGAAGGCCUUCGGGUUGUAAAGCACUUUUGGCAGGAAGGCGGUACCUGCAGAAUAAGCACCGGCUAACUACGUGCCAGCAGCCGCGGUAAUUC